GACGAACGCUGGCGGCAUGCCUAAUACAUGCAAGUCGAACGAUGAUACCACUACUUGCUGCGAUUGAUUAGUGGCGAACGGGUGAGUAACACGUGUGGAACUUGCCCAUGAGCGGCGGACAACAUUCGGAAACGGAUGCUAAUACCCCAUAGGUUGAGUGGUCGCAUUACGAACUCAUUAAAGUUGGCUCUGCUACCACUCAUUGAUAGGCUCGCGGCGUAUUUGCUAGUUGGUAUGGUAAUGGCUUACCACGGCAGUGAUACGUAGCCGACUGGAGAGGGGGAUCGGCAACACUGAAACUGAGACACGGCCCAGACCCCUAGGGGAGGCAGCAGUAGGAAUUCUGCCAAAAUGGGGGCAGACUUGACGAGGCAAUGCCGCGGGGGUGAAGAAGGUCUUCGGUUGGUAAAGCUCUUUUGUUGGAGAAGAAAACGUGCUAGGUAACUACUAGCGUCUUGACGGUACCUAACCAGAAAGUCACGGCUAACUACGUG
rnacentral:rRNA from 1 species